UAAAAUUUAUUUAUUAAUUUUUGUUGUUAUAGUUAUUUAUUAAAAAAAAUAAUUUUAUAAUUAAAUGUUUUUGUAUUUUAUAAAGAAAAAAUAAUUUUUAUAAUAGUUUAAUUGUAUUGAAAAAGAAUAUUGAAAUAAUUUGAAAAAUUUUUAAAAAUAAAGAAAAUUUUAUUUAUUGUACCUUGUGUAUCAGGGUUUAUUAAUUAAAAAAUAUUUAAUUUAUUUUUCUCGAAUUUAAGAGAUCUAAAAAUUUAUUUAAGUUAAUGUGGCAUAAUUAUUUAAAAUAUAUUUUUAGAAAUGAAACGUUAUUCGUUCUUAAUUAUAUCUAGUUUUUUAAGAAAUAAAUUUAAUUUAUACAUUAUUUAGUAAAAAUUUAAUUAAAUAAUUUUUUAUUAAUUAAUGUAAAUAUUUUAAGGGAUAAGCUUUAAAGUAAAUAGUUAUAAAUUGUAAAUUUUAAAAAUAAUUGUAGGAUUAGAAUUAGCCAUCAAAUUAAAUUAUGUUAUAAUUUAUUUUUAUUAUAGAAAAAUUUAUUCUUUUUUAAAUUAUAUAUUAAAAUAUUAAUUUGAAUAUAAAAAAUUAAGUAAUAAUGAUAAAAUUAGUAUAUUAUUUAUUUUUAUAAAUAAAAAUUAAUGAAAGGUUUUUAUAAGUAAUUCGGCAAACUUAAUACUCGCCUGUUUAUCAAAAACAUGUCUUUUUGUAAUAUAUUUAAAGUCUAACCUGCCCACUGAAAAAUUUAAAGGGCCGCGGUAUUUUGACCGUGCAAAGGUAGCAUAAUCAUUAGUCUUUUAAUUGAAGGCUCGUAUGAAUGGUUGAACGUAGUAUUAGCUGUCUCAUAAAAAAUUAAAAUAGAAUUUAACUUUUUAAUUAAAAGGUUAAAAUAAAUUUAAAAGACGAGAAGACCCUAUAGAGCUUUAUAAUAUUUUUGUAUAAUUUAUUUAGAAAAAUUAAAAUAAUACACAAUCUAUUAUUUUGUUGGGGUGACAAUAAAAUUUAAUAAACUUUUAUUAAUUAUAAACAUUAAUUUAUGAAUAAUUGAUCCAGUUAUAUUGAUUAUAAAAUUAAGUUACCUUAGGGAUAACAGCGUAAUUUUUUUUAAGAGUUCAUAUCGACAAAAAAGAUUGCGACCUCGAUGUUGGAUUAAGGGUUAUUUUUGGGUGUAGAAGUUCAAAGUUUAGGUCUGUUCGACCUUUGAAUCCUUACAUGAUCUGAGUUCAGACCGGCGUAAGCCAGGUUGGUUUCUAUCUUUAAAUAAUUAAAAUAUUUUAGUACGAAAGGACCAAAUAUUUGAAAUAUAAAUUUUUAAUAAUUGAAUAAUAAUAAUUAUAA
rnacentral:rRNA from 1 species